AGUGGGACGUGUUGCUUUGAUUAAUAUUGCCAUAAAGACUGCCGAAAAUGGGUGUGGUACGGAAACCCAGAAAUGGCAUGAGCUCAACAUCAAACAUGGAUUAGAAUUUUACCGGUGGAUCAAGUCAAGUCUGGAAGUGUUACAGGAUGGAAGAGUUGGCCUAUAGUUGAAAAAACAUUGAGAGUGCAUUACCGUUAAGGUAUGAGGUAAAGUAAUAGAGUAUGCAAAUUGUCUAAUGAGAAGUACCAUCUUGUGUGAAUGAAUCCUGUAUAACAGCAAUCCUUUAUAGUUCUGUCAAAGCUAGAAGCCUCAAAUAAUUCUGCUUCUCUUGCUAAAGAACAACUUGUCCCUUACGUUCAAAGUGUUGGUGAAACUGGGUACUUAAAUGGCCCUAAAAAUGUUUCACUUCGCUGGCAUUGCAGCGAUGAACAUCAUACAUGGAAUCUUUAGGAAAGGAUUUUCAGCAUACUGGGAACACAACUACCAACAAUGCAACAUUCUACGGGUGCUAUUUUAUCAUUAACAAGCCUUAUACAAUGAUUUUCAUCUGCAAUUUGUAUGGCCUUUCCCAAGCUUCUGCCAGAAGUUGAAUCUAUGAGUCAUGUAAGUCCCAUGAGCAACAAUUGAGAUGCUUAAUGGUGUUGUUUUUCUUUUCUCAGUAUAGGUUAAUAGUAACAUUGGAUCUGAAAAGAUUCUUGGUUGGGGCAAGACACUGAAUAAAUUGCAAUGAUUGGAUGGAUGACAUGACAUUUCUGUACUUCAUUCGGAUUCCCGAGACGGUAUUUUAUAUUUAAAAAAUUGAAGUGCAUAUAUGGGCUCCCUUCCUUUCCGUAGCCCCGUUUCCCCUUGACUCGUAAUAAGCCCGUAGGGGGUCAUGCCCCUACUGUACGGUAUAUAUAAAAACAACAUAUACCGAGGUUUGGAGGGCUCUGGCCGGAAAGGGGACGUGGGGUGCCGCUUAGUCCGAUGAUGUGUUCACGGAGGGCGACGUGGCUACCCACAAAUCCGAACUAAAGGUUAAUCGCUCCUGUAAAAAUGUUCCAAAUCUUCAGCUCUUCUUCCGGCUUCUCUUAGCCAAUCACCGGGUAAUCUCCCCGGUGGGUCAACAAGGCAGUGUCUCCCCCUGCCUGGGUUGAC